GAUGAACGCUGGCGGCGUGCCUAAUACAUGCAAGUCGAGCGAACGGACGAGAAGCUUGCUUCUCUGAUGUUAGCGGCGGACGGGUGAGUAAAACGUGGAUAACCUACCUAUAAGACUGGGAUAACUUCGGGAAACCGGAGCUAAAACCGGAUAAUAUUUUGAACCGCAUGGUUCAAAAGUGAAAGACGGUCUUGCUGUCACUUAUAGAUGGAUCCGCGCUGCAUUAGCUAGUUGGUAAGGUAACGGCUUACCAAGGCAACGAUGCAUAGCAGACCUGAGAGGGUGAUCGGCCACACUGGAACUGAGACACGGUCCAGACUCCUACGGGAGGCAGCAGUAGGGAAUCUUCCGCAAUGGGCGAAAGCCUGACGGAGCAACGCCGCGUGAGUGAUGAAGGUCUUCGGAUCGUAAAACUCUGUUAUUCGGGAAGAACAUAUGUGUAAGUAACUGUGCACAUCUUGACGGUACCUAAUCAGAAAGCCACGGCUAACUACGUG
rnacentral:rRNA from 1 species